CCAUUGGCGCUGGCGCCAGGCGGGGGCGCGGGCGGGGCAGCAGUUCCGAGUCCGGCGCGCGCGGGCAGGGUCCCCAUUGCCUGCCGCGCACCCGGACUAGCGACUACCCUCGGCCUCCUCUCCACGGACGCAGACGACUCCCGGGCCCCCAAGGGCUCUUUGCGGAAGUUCCUGGAGCACCUCUCCGGGGCCGGCAAGGCCAUCGGCGUGCUGACCAGUGGCGGGGAUGCUCAAGUGGGUCCCAGGCCCUCCCCGCCAGCCUCCGCGGACCGGAAGGACCAGGAAGCGGGGACUCCGGGACGUCAGCGGCGCCGCGGCGCGGGCUCUGGGCUUCCCCUGCCCUGCAAUGUGGAAGCGACUCUCCAGGAGGGGCCCGAGCCUGGGCCCACGACGCGGGCGCGCCGGGAGGUCAUUUAACAUUGAAGAGCGGGAGGUGAUGGAGAGUGCGCUCCCCAGGCCCCGGGUGCACGUAGGGGCGCCUGUGCCCGGGAUCAGGAGGGUGAGGCCUUCUCCGUCAGGUAGCCUUGUUAAAUCUAUCUGAAAGUCACAGAUAACUAAGUAUCAAGUCGUCACAGAUAUUUAUGUAUCCUGAAUGAGAUGGCUACGGAAAACAUGAAAACAUCGUUACUGGUUACGUGCAUGAUGCAUCCAAAACAUUGUUACCUGCACAGUGGCAGCACUGAUAUUUGUGGGCUUUUGAACGUGUGGACUGGAGUGUUAAGAGUCCUUCAGAGUUAUGACAGUAGUUUGAUUUGAAUGUUCUUUUCUUGGCGAAUAAAUGCUGUACAUUGAAUUUACCCAGGAAACUAGGAAGGUGAACCCACACGAAGGACACAGACCUGUGGGCUGCUCCAGGCACCAUUAGGGCGUUGCGGGGCCUGAGCCAUGGGCUUCGUUCUGCCUCACACUGGACCGGCUAGUUUCAUAUUCUUGUUAUGGUUCCGAAGCUACAAGCGGUUGGAUUCUGCGAGUCGCUCUCUGUCUUCCUCCUCCAGCUGCUUUCAAAUGGGUCGUCUCUUUUUUUAGAACUGCUUUUUUUAAGCAGUGAUUGAUGGGGUGAGUUGUAGUGCUGUCCUGAACUGCAGAGGGAGCGCACUGAGGAACCUGGGUUUUGAUGCUGUGCACAUCAGCUGAGUCAGCAGCCCAGGGCCCUGUCAGUCCCAUUAUUAAGCUUAUUUCUUGCUCUUCGACGCCUUAAAAAAAAAAAGCAAACUCCUGCUUGCCGUCACUGGCUGUUUGGCAAAUGGGUGUUUACCCUGGAAAGAGGGACAUUUUGUCCUCUGGACCGUCUAAGGCGCCCUUUAGUGACGUGGUCCGUUUCUGACCACUCUAUUCUGUGGCGUCCUUCCUGCUUCCACCUUCCCUUUCCAAACGCCUCCGCCUCCAGGGCUUUAAUUUUCCUUCUGUGUGUGUGUCACGCAGAGGUUACGACUAUUGCGCCAGUGCCCUUAUUAUUUUUAUUUUUUUUCCUGCGGAGGUCCCAGAACUUGCUACAUCUCAAAAGAAGCAAUUGCAUCCAUUUGUUCGCGAUGAUCAUAAACAGUGCCCUCUAAGGGAGACUAAUUGGUCAACCCGUCUGCUUGGGUAGAAAGACAGCGGUGGCCGCGGAGCGAGGGCUCUGCCUCUUCAGAGCCUGCACAACCAUCCUGCUUUCUUCUUCAAUAUCCAGUAGGGGGGUUAAUUUUAAUAAGCCCUUGAAACCAACAAAGCAGGAAAGUGCAAAGACAUUGAGUUGCGAGAUUUAAAAUUACAACCAGCAGCCUCUCAUUCUUCCUUC
rnacentral:lncRNA from 1 species